CAGCCGCCGCGGUAAAACGGAGGGAGCUAGCGUUGUUCGGAAUUACUGGGCGUAAAGCGCGCGUAGGCGGUUACUCAAGUCAGAGGUGAAAGCCCGGGGCUCAACCCCGGAACUGCCUUUGAAACUAGGUGACUAGAAUCUUGGAGAGGUCAGUGGAAUUCCGAGUGUAGAGGUGAAAUUCGUAGAUAUUCGGAAGAACACCAGUGGCGAAGGCGACUGACUGGACAAGUAUUGACGCUGAGGUGCGAAAGCGUGGGGAGCAAACAGGAUUAGAUACCCGAGUAGUCCCUGUCUCUUAUAC
rnacentral:rRNA from 1 species